GUCAAUCAAAAUUUAUAUUUUGAUAAAUUUUUCUUUAUAAUCUUUCAGACUCAUGUAAUUGAUAUUUUAUAAAUAAAAAAUAUUUUUCAUCAUAUGCUGCAUCUUACUUUUAUAAUGAUUAUGAUGAACUCCAUAAAUUAGGAUAAUAAUUUCAGGAUUAUGAUGAGAUCAUACCUAUGAGACUUAAAAUCCUAAAAAUCUUGGUUUAGAAUGUUCCUAGUCAUAGGAGCACUG
rnacentral:lncRNA from 1 species